rnacentral:rRNA from 1 species
UACGGAGGGUGCAAGCGUUAUUCGGUAAUUAUUGGGCGUAAGGGCGCGUAGGCGGCUUUAUAAGUCUGAUGUGAAAGCCCGGAGCUUAACUCCGGAAGUGCAUUGGAUACUGUAAGGCUUGAGUAUGGGAGAGGGUAGCGGAAUUCCUGGUGUAGAGGUGAAAUUCGUAGAUAUCAGGAGGAACACCGGUGGCGAAGGCGGCUACCUGGACCAAUACUGACGCUGAGGCGCGAAAGCGUGGGGAGCAAACAGGAUUAGAUACCCGUGUAGU